UACGAAGGGGGCUAGCGUUGCUCGGAAUCACUGGGCGUAAAGCGCACGUAGGCGGCUUUUUAGGUCAGGGGUGAAAUCCUGGAGCUCAACUCCAGAACUGCCUUUGAUACUGAGAAGCUUGAGUCCGGGAGAGGUGAGUGGAACUGCGAGUGUAGAGGUGAAAUUCGUAGAUAUUGGGAAGAACACCGAUGGCGAAGGCAGCCAUCUGGACCGACACUGACGCUGAGGCGCGAAAGCGUGGGGAGCAAACAGG
rnacentral:rRNA from 1 species